UUCCAUCUGGAAGAAUCUGGAGACAGGUGCUGCAUGGCUGUCGUCAGCUCGUGUCGUGAGAUGUGGGUUAAGUCCCGCAACGAGCGCAACCCUGCAUUCAGUUGCCAUCGGUAAGGCCGGGCACUCUGGAUGGACUGCCGGCGACAAGCCGGAGGAAGGUGGGGACGACGUCAAGUCAUCAUGGCCCUUAUGUCCAGGGCGACACACGUGCUACAAUGGCCGGCACAACGGGAAGCGAAGGGGCGACCCUGGGCGGAUCCCACAAAAGCCGGUCUCAGUUCGGAUUGCAGUCUGCAACUCGACUGCAUGAAGUUGGAAUCGCUAGUAAUCGUGGAUCAGCCAAGCCGCGGUGAAUACGUUCCCGGGCCUU
rnacentral:rRNA from 1 species